rnacentral:rRNA from 1 species
AGCGAACGCUGGCGGCAUGCUUAACACAUGCAAGUCGCACGGUCGGGGCAACCCGGCAGUGGCGGACGGGUGAGUAACGCGUAGGUAUCUAUCCUUGGGUGGGGGACAACCGUGGGAAACUACGGCUAAUACCGCAUGAUGUCUGAGGACCAAAGGCGCAAGUCGCCUGGGGAGGAGCCUGCGUACGAUUAGCUAGUUGGUGGGGUAACUGCCUACCAAGGCGACGAUCGUUAGCUGGUCUGAGAGGAUGAUCAGCCACACUGGGACUGAGACACGG